GGCUCUUUGGCGAAAUGGUCAGCGCCUGUGACUCUUACCCAUGAUUUUGGGGUUCAAUUCCCCGCCCGGGCCC